rnacentral:rRNA from 1 species
AGCGAACGCUGGCGGCAGGCUUAACACAUGCAAGUCGAGCGGGCAUCCUUGUGGUGUCAGCGGCAGACGGGUGAGUAACGCGUGGGAACGUGCCCUUCGGUUCGGAAUAACUCAGGGAAACUUGAGCUAAUACCGGAUACGUGCGAGAGCAGAAAGGUUUAUCUGCCGAAGGAUCGGCCCGCGUCUGAUUAGCUAGUUGGUGAGGUUACGGCUCACCAAGGCGACGAUCAGUAGCUGGUCUGAGAGGAUGAUCAGCCACACUGGGACUGAGACACGGCACAGACUCCUACGGGAGGCAGCAGUGGGGAAUAUUGGACAAUGGGGGCAACCCUGAUCCAGCCAUGCCGCGUGAGUGAUGACGGCCUUAGGGUUGUAAAGCUCUUUUCUCCGGGACGAUAAUGACGGUACCGGAGGAAUAAGCCCCGGCUAACUUCGUG